AGCGAACGCUGGCGGCAGGCCUAACACAUGCAAGUCGAACGAAGUCUUCGGACUUAGUGGCGGACGGGUGAGUAACACGUGGGAACGUGCCUUUAGGUUCGGAAUAACUCAGGGAAACUUGUGCUAAUACCGAAUGUGCCCUUCGGGGGAAAGAUUUAUCGCCUUUAGAGCGGCCCGCGUCUGAUUAGCUAGUUGGUGGGGUAAUGGCUCACCAAGGCUACGAUCAGUAGCUGGUCUGAGAGGAUGACCAGCCACAUUGGGACUGAGACACGGCCCAAACUCCUACGGGAGGCAGCAGUGGGGAAUCUCGCGCAAUGGGCGAAAGCCUGACGCAGCCAUGCCGCGUGGAUGAUGAAGGUCUUAGGAUUGUAAAAUCCUUUCACCGGUGAAGAUAAUGACUGUAGCCGGAGAAGAAGCCCCGGCUAACUUCGUGCCAGCAGCCGCCGUAA
rnacentral:rRNA from 1 species